rnacentral:rRNA from 1 species
UACGAAGGGGGCUAGCGUUGUUCGGAAUUACUGGGCGUAAAGCGCGCGCAGGCGGUCUUCCAAGUCAGUGGUGAAAGCCCGGAGCUCAACUCCGGAACUGCCAUUGAAACUGUGAGACUGGAGUACGAGAGAGGUGAGUGGAAUUCCCAGUGUAGAGGUGAAAAUUCGUAGAUAUUAGGAAGAACACCAGUGGCGAAGGCGGCUCACUGGUCCGGUACUGACGCUGAGGUGCGAAAGCGUGGGGGAGCAAACAGG